rnacentral:rRNA from 1 species
AACGAACGCUGGCGGCAGGCUUAACACAUGCAAGUCGAGCGCCCCGCAAGGGGAGCGGCAGACGGGUGAGUAACGCGUGGGAAUCUACCGUGCCCUACGGAAUAACGCAUGGAAACGUGUGCUAAUACCGUAUACGCCCUACGGGGGAAAGAUUUAUCGGGGUAUGAUGAGCCCGCGUUGGAUUAGCUAGUUGGUGGGGUAAAGGCCUACCAAGGCGACGAUCCAUAGCUGGUCUGAGAGGAUGAUCAGCCACAUUGGGACUGAGACACGGCCCAAACUCCUACGGGAGGCAGCAGUGGGGAAUAUUGGACAAUGGGCGCAAGCCUGAUCCAGCCAUGCCGCGUGAGUGAUGAAGGUCUUAGGAUUGUAAAGCUCUUUCACCGGUGAAGAUAAUGACGGUAACCGGAGAAGAAGCCCCGGCUAACUUCGUGCCAGCAGCCGCGGUAA